rnacentral:rRNA from 1 species
GAUGAACGCUGGCGGUAUGCUUAACACAUGCAAGUCGAACGGUGUCUUCGGACACAGUGGCGGACGGGUGAGUAACGCGUGAGAAUCUGGCUUCAGGUCUGGGACAACCACUGGAAACGGUGGCUAAUACCGGAUGUGCCGAGAGGUGAAAGGUUAACUGCCUGAAGAUGAGCUCGCGUCUGAUUAGCUAGUAGGUGUGGUAAAGGCGCACCUAGGCGACGAUCAGUAGCUGGUCUGAGAGGACGAUCAGCCACACUGGGACUGAGACACGGCCCAGACUCCUACGGGAGGCAGCAGUGGGGAAUUUUCCGCAAUGGGCGAAAGCCUGACGGAGCAAUACCGCGUGAGGGAGGAAGGCUCUUGGGUCGUAAACCUCUUUUCUCAGGGAAGAACACAAUGACGGUACCUGAGGAAUAAGCAUCGGCUAACUCCGUGCCAGCAGCCGCGGUAAUACGGAGGAUGCAAGCGUUAUCCGGAAUGAUUGGGCGUAAAGCGUCCGCAGGUGGCGAUGUAAGUCUGCUGUUAAAGAGUCUAGCUCAACUAGAUAAGAGCAGUGGAAACUACAUAGCUAGAGUACGUUCGGGGCAGAGGGAAUUCCUGGUGUAGCGGUGAAAUGCGUAGAGAUCAGGAAGAACACCAGUGGCGAAGGCGCUCUGCUAGGCCGUAACUGACACUGAGGGACGAAAGCUAGGGGAGCGAAUGGGAUUAGAUACCCCAGUAGUCCUAGCCGUAAACGAUGGAUACUAGGCGUGGC